UACAGAGGGUGCAAGCGUUAAUCGGAAUUACCGGGCGUAAAGCGUGCGCAGGCGGUUCGACAAGUCUGAUGUGAAAUCCCCGGGCUCAACCUGGGAACUGCGUUGGAAACUGUCGGGCUAGAGUGUAGAAGAGGGGGGUAGAAUUCCACGUGUAGCAGUGAAAUUCGUAGAUAUCGGGAGGAACACCAGUGGCGAAGGCGGCGAUCUGGGAAGAUACUGACGCUGAGGUGCGAAAGCGUGGGGAGCAAACAGGAUUAGAAACCCUGGUAGU
rnacentral:rRNA from 1 species